AAAAGUAAAAAAAAAUCUAGGGGAGAGAGGUUGAAAAAGAAAGAGGAAGAGCUAAGUAACUAGAAAUAUAAGGAAAUGUGAAAAUGACCUAGAGCCUACUUUAGCUUGGGUAAUCAGACACAGCCUCUCUGAGAAAGUUGCUGUUUAAGCUAAGCCCUGAUUAUCAGAGUUAUUCAACCAGGAUGCUGACCUGAAGGUUAUAUGUCACUAUGGAUAUUAGUAUUAUAGAAUUUUGGAGAAGAUAAGAGUCUAAUUUGGUUGUGGGCUCCAGAAAGUUUUCAGAUAAGGUUAAAAUGAAUGGCUGAACAUUUCUGAAGCAGAGGUUAUCCUAAGGGUUCCUGGUAGUUUUUGCUCAUUCAACUCCGGGAUCCUAACAUUACAUUAGUAAAGGUAUUUACUAUAAUAUUUUCAAUAUUGCCUUCAUUGCCUACUUGUUCAGAGAGUGGAUUAGGCCCUGAUUCUGCUCAAGCCUCCCCAAAUUCUUACUGGUGUGACUGUGUAUGACCGGAGCACCUGACUCUCAGCCCAGUACAUGGUGAGUGCAUAAUAAUUGGUAGUUAUUUUAUCUUAUUUUAUUUUGAAGUAAUCUGGCUUAAAAUUUUUUAAAAAGUUAAAAUGAUGCUAUAUUUAUUUGUUACAGUUUAGCUUACAAAACAUUUUGCAAAAACAGCAUAUCUUUUCUUGAAACAUUAACUUUUUAUCAAGUAACACAUACAGGAUAUCUUNUUUUAGGGAUGCACCCAUGAUGUAUGGAGCUUUCCAGGCUAGGGGUCUAAUUGGAGCUAUAGCUGCCUG
rnacentral:lncRNA from 1 species